CGCACAUUGCGCCCUUCGGUAUUCCGUGGGGCAUGCCUGUUCGAGCGUCAUUAACACCCUCAAGCCUUGCUUGGUGUUGGGCGUCUGUCCCGGGGUUCCACCCCAUCCGGACACGCCUGAAAGGCAUUGGCAGCGGACCCUCCGGCCUCCUAAUCGCGCAGCACUGCCCGCGCCUCCUGGAGCUUGCAGGGACGGCAUCCAUGAAGCCUAAUUCUCCUGAGUUUGACCUCGGAUCAGGUAGGGAUACCCGCUGAACUUAA
rnacentral:misc_RNA from 1 species